rnacentral:rRNA from 1 species
AUGCAUUGGGCGUAAAGCGUGCGCAGGCUGUUUUUGUAAGACAGAGGUGAAAUCCCCGGGCUCAACCUGGGAACUGCCUUUGUGACUGCAAAGCUGGAGUGCGGCAGAGGGGGAUGGAAUUCCGCGUGUAGCAGUGAAAUGCGUAGAUAUGCGGAGGAACACCGAUGGCGAAGGCAAUCCCCUGGGCCUGCACUGACGCUCAUGCACGAAAGCGUGGGGAGCAAACA